GUUUGUAAAAAAUGAAUCCGCCUCCACAAUAUAGAACUUAGCUAAAACAUAUACAUCAUCAUGAAAUUUAGGAAAUUUACCACGUUUUAAUUGCCCCGAUUUCCGGCUUUUUGUUAUUCCAGCCCAGUCGUGUGUAGUUAGUUACCUUGCAUCAAAUAUAUAUUGAUUGUCGAAUUUAACCGGAAUAUAAAUGCCUGGAAUUAAGUUAGCUCGACAUGUGAACACAUUUUCAAUAUUAAGCCCCAUGUCGAUUGCAUCAGGGUCGGGGUUUUCAUUGUGAUUGCUCAAUCGUUAAGCAAUUUAUAUUCGUGGACCUUGUUUUAGUUCAUGUCCCAUUGAUGUUCAUCAGCCGAAAUGUGGAUGUACAAGGAUUCGUAAAAUUGACUCUUCAGUCAAGGAAAUGCAAGUUUCUGACAAUCGCGGGCGGAUGCUAAUGCAUAUUUUCAGAAAAUUACUUGAAAAAAUGAUUAUGAUUUGGCCACGUCACUGAUCUUAAAGGAAAUAUUGUCUACAUGAUCAAACAAGAACGCAAUGAACUUCCAUAACUGCUCCAUUCGCUGAACAACACACGUCCAUCAGCCACGUCAAGCCUUAAAGAUAAUAAAAGACUACUCGACUGCUUUUGGUGCAAAACAUGCCUUAAUAGAGAAGAAAGAGAAAAUAAUUCGGAAGCCGUAAACAGUGUCCCAACAAGAGUUUAACGUCCCACACGAAAUUCAAAUCUGUGAAAAUAUCGGGCUUGUUCUUUCUCGGCACUGGAAAGAUGUCGUUAAAGAUAAAUGAAAACAAACUUUUGAAGCCUUAUCGUCUUACACAUGGUCGUAAAGCCUAAUAUUUGACUGUUAUGUAAUUAAUAAAACUUCGAUAUCUCAUCCGGCUGAUCUUGACUCAGUCGUAAUAAAAUGUUGGUUUUCA
rnacentral:lncRNA from 1 species